rnacentral:rRNA from 1 species
AACGUAGGACACAAGCGUUAUCCGGAGUUACUGGGCGUAAAGGGCGCGUAGGCGGCCUUCUAAGUCAGACGUGAAAUCCCCAGGCUUAACUUGGGAACUGCGUCUGAUACUGGGAGGCUUGAGUGCGGGAGAGGGAUGUGGAAUUCCAGGUGUAGCGGUGAAAUGCGUAGAUAUCUGGAGGAACACCGGUGGCGAAGGCGGCAUCCUGGACCGACACUGACGCUGAGGCGCGAAAGCUAGGGGAGCAAACGGG